CAAUCAUUCCAGGAGACUCGCCUACCAUAUGACUUCUUUUAAGCAUAACAAUAUGAUCAUCGUUUGACUUCACCAAAACAGUAGAGAAGUUUUUAGAAAAUACUGCAGUAACAUAAUCCAUUGGCAAACCAACAGUGGAUAACGACAUGGAAGAUUUUUUGUGAUCAAAUAGGAUAUCGCAUGGACCACAACGACGAGCGAUUUCUGAUGCAGACGCCAUUGUUUUCAAAAUUACCUUUAAAAAUUGCUUUCAUACUGAUUAAAAGUAGCCAGAGGCAAAAUGACUAAAAACACGCUUGAUUUAUUAUGAAUUUUCUCAUAUUUUUAAAUUACAAAAUCUAAUGUAAUCGAAAGUUAGUAAUUUGUGAUAUGACCUUUAAAUAACGAUCAAAUGCUAUAAAACUUAUUCCCACCAAAGUCCUUUGAUGCUUUGAUGCAUAGUAAAAUGUUGAGUCUUGUUUUUUGAUUAAUAGAUCAAUUGUACAGUCAUCAAUUAAUUAAUUCCACAAGAAUUA